GAGGGUAUAGCUCAGUGGUAGAGUGCAUGUUUAGCAUUCACAAGGUCCUGGGUUCAGUCCCCGGUACCUCCU
rfam:Camelus ferus unplaced genomic scaffold scaffold674, whole genome shotgun sequence.